rnacentral:lncRNA from 1 species
UCGCGACUCCAUUUCAAGGCAACCUUCCGAUCGGUUAUUCUCCCAUCUCGGUAAGACUUACGGCAAAAAGAUUCCCCAAUUCGCUUGCAUUUGCUCUCCUCUUCCGUAUGUAUAUUGAUAUGUGUAUGUAUAUGCAUUUAUGUGUUAUUUUUUUGUGUGGGAUUGUAAUUCAUAGCUCAUACACACUAUAUACUCAAUAAAGCAUGCCUUAUAUAUAUAUGUAUAUGUUUUGUGUUUGCCCCUAACGAGACUCUUUUUGUUUAAUGGAGAGAGUAUUAUAAAUCCCAAAACUUACUCAAUAGAAAUAUUAAAAGCAUAGAUCAUGUUGAUUGCUCAUAUAUUUUGGAAAUCAUUUUAUGAGAACAUUCUCUUUUUAUUUAUUCCCUUCUACAUUUUUUUCUUGGGGUGGUCUUCUUUGGCUGGUGUCUUCAAAGCUAGAUUGUGUCCCUUUUCCUUCCCUCCUCUGGUGAAUCAAUAACAUUAACUCCCUCAUCAUUAUUACUGCUAUCUAAAAUAAAAGCAAUAGCAGAAGGAUAGAAUUCAAUUUGUGCAACUUGAUAUAUGGACAGUCAUGCAGUUACUCGAUUUUGUUAUGCGGAAAAAGAGAUUCCAUAAUCUCUAGUGACAACUAUGUAAUUUUCUGGAGAUUUAAUUACUUUUACAUUCCUAGUCUAUUAUGUAUUUCUCUCUCUCAGGUUUUGGAAGUAUUGUUUCCUUUGAUUCCUUCUAAUUGUCACCAUUACAUGGUCACACUGUAUAAAUUAGUGAAUGUUAAAACAAUUUAAGCUUAUUUUUGUACGGAUUUAGAUCUUAAAGUAGUAUGCAUAUAAUUUGAGGCUUAUACUUUCAUCUAGUGGAGUAGCCUGGCUGCCUAUAAAUUAUUUGGUGUUGUUGUUGAUACUUGUUCGCAUCCCAUAUCCUUGUAUACUUUUAAAUUCCAUUUAUUAUCGCUAACCGAUAGAUAAGAUUUGUAAUGAUAUUUGGUUGCCAUUAAUCAUAUCAAAUGUUUUUAGAUAAGAUUUGUAAUGAUAUUUGGUUGCCAUUAAUCAUAUCAAAUGUUUUUAUCCCAUUUAGAGACUAUUAAAUUGUAGUGCAUCUUUUUCUGGUGCUGUGUCUAAGUUAGUGUGCUUAUUUAUACUAAUAUGUUUCCUGUUCAUUAUCCCUCCAGAUAGCUGAUGUUGUAAAUGUAUAGAUUAAUUUGCGUUCAUUAUUCUUGAUGGCAUCAACCAUGCACUAACCUUUCACUUGAACACCAGGAAUAUGAAACCAUUAAUAUUUUGAAUUUAUUGUUCUAUAUAUUUGCAGGAAUUUAUUUAUUGCAUACCUAAGAGUGGAAGGCAGGGUAUGUGAAUCUCUGUACAAAAUCAGGCAGGGACUAAAAUCAAGUGGGGUUUUUUAGAUACUUUAGUUAGUUGAUUAUGAGUGUAUAGAAGGUACUUGUUUAAAACAAAGAACAUGAUACCACUCGAAAGUGACCCACGCAGUAUACAUGCCCAGGCUAUAAUAACAGGCACCAAAGACCGCUCGUUCUUCAACAAUCUCAUCAACCUCUACUCCAAAUCAAAUCUCCUCCCCUUUGCUUUUCGCCUUUUCCGCCAAAUCCCCAACCCAAACGUCGUCUCAUGGACCGUCUUAAUCUCCGCCUGCGCCAACUCUCCUCUCUCUCUCCACUACUUCAUUUCCAUGCUCCGCCACCCCACCCUCCCCAACCAGCGCACUUUCGUCGUUCUCCUCAAAACCUGCGCCUCUCUCCCUUCCCUCUCCUUCGGCCUACAACUCCACUCCCUUUCUCUUAAGCUCUCUCUCUCUUAUGAUCCCUUUACAGCCUCCUCCCUUAUCCAUUUCUACUCCAAAAUUAAGCUCCCCAAUGAUGCCCGCCAAGUGUUUGAAGACAUGCCCUAUGGAGAUGAAGUUUGUUAUUCAACGUUGAUUGUUGGGCUCACACAAAAUAAGCUACCCGUUGAUGCGUUGUAUUACUUUGCCGACAUGAGAAAGCGCGGUUUUGGGUCUACCAUGUAUAGCUUGUCGGCUGCUCUACGAGCGGCUGCUGAAGUUGCUGCCUUGGAGCAAUGUAGGAUAUUUCAUGGGCACUCUGUUAUUACUGGGUUUGAUUGUAAUGUGAUUGUGGGGACUGCUUUGGUGGAUGGGUAUGGGAAGUGUGGAGUUGUAACCGAGGCUCGCGGGGUUUUUGAUGAGUUAAUGCCUAGUUUGAGUGUUAUUGGUUGGAAUGCGAUGAUGUCGGGUUAUGCACAACAGGGAGAUAAGGAUUUGGCAAUGGAGCUUUUCGGGUUAAUGAAAGUUCUAGGACUUGUGCCCGAUGAGUAUAGCUUUUUAGCGAUAUUGACUUCAUUUUGCAAUGCGGGUUUGGUGAAUGAGACAGAGUGGUGGCUGAGGAAUAUGAAAAUGGAAUAUGGAUUGGAACCGUGGAUUGAGCAUUAUACGUGUUUGGUGGGUGUAUUAGGUAGAGUUGGACGGCUUGAUGAUGCGGAAAGGAUUGCUUUGACAAUGCCUUACGAGCCCGACGCUGCUGUAUGGCGGACAUUAUUAUCAACUUGUGCUUAUCAUGGUGAAGCAGACAUGGCUUUGUUAAUGAGUAAGCGCUUAUUGGAACUUAACUCGUACGAUGAUUCGGCUUAUGUGAUUGUAGCGAAUGUGCUUGCGAAUGAAGGAAGGUUUGAUGAAGUAAGGGAAGUGAGGAAGUUGAUGAAAGUUAGGCGAGUUUCAAAAGAAGGCGGGAAGAGUUGGAUUGAAUUGCAGGGAGAGGUUCAUGUUUUCUUGGCAGGGGAUCAGAAGCAUGAAAGGGCCGAACACAUUUACAUGAAGUUGGUGGAGUUAAGGGAGGAGAUUGUGAAAUUGGGUUAUGUGCCGGUUUGGGAUGAGAGAUUAAAUGAAGCGGAGAAAGGUGAGAAGGUGAAAGCACUUUGGUAUCAUAGUGAGAAGUUGGCACUGGCAUUCGGGCUGAUCAGUGGGGCAGCACCAACGGGAAAGGCUUUGAGAAUUGUGAAGAAUUUGAGAAUUUGUAGGGAUUGUCACGAGGUUUUCAAGUAUGUAAGCCAAGUAGUGAAGAGGGAGAUUAUAGUAAGAGAUGCUAACAGAUAUCAUAAAUUCUUGGAUGGCAGUUGCAAUUGUAGAGAUUAUUGGUAAUUUAUGCAAGAGAUAAAUGCUCCACUAGUGCAUAGUAAGACACCAGUAGAUGUUGAUGAUUAAUUGUUUACUAAUAAGCUGUUUAAAUAAUAAGUCGUUUACCAAUAAUAAGUUAUUUACCAAUAAUAGGUGGUUUACCAAUAAUAAGCUGUUUAAAUAAUAAGUUGUUUACCAAUAAGCUAUUUAAAUAAUAAGUUGGUUACCGAUAAACUGUUUAAAUAAUAAGUUGUUUAAAUAAGGUUUACCAAUCAUAAACUUAUUCGAUAUGAUAUUGAAUUAAUGUAUCUUUUUGUAAUGUCCUUUUUAGUAACCUUUACAUUUUAUUUUAACUUAUAAGUCAGUAUCAGCCGAACACCUUCAUAACUUGUUUUAACUUAAGUUCUGACUUAUAAGUCAUUAUCAGCCGAACGCUUUUACUUAUAAAUCACAACUUAAAACAACUUAUAAGUCAACUUAUAUUUUAAUUUAUAAGUCAUUCCCGAACAUGCCCUUAAAUUACUCCCUUCACUUAUAACAUCAUUCCGGACUUUUGAAAGUCAAUUCUAGGAAUUUUCAAACUCAAAAUUGAAAUAAUUCAUUAAAUAUUAUGAAAUAACAAAUCUUACAAUAACUAGCCAUUUUCUGAUAAUUUGCUAUACAAUCAUUGUAUUGACUAAAAUGAAAAGAAUCUAAGCCAAUUUUGAGUUAAAAAAUUUAUUGAAUUGAAUUGACUUCAAAAAAUCAAUAAUAUUUAGGUAAUAACAGAGUUGAUUGUAAUGAUUUUACCUGUAUCAGAAAAAGUAUCUCGAGGGGAAAUUUUCUUGAAUUUUACUAUACAAUUUUUAUUAAAUUCGUUAACUCGUGAUUCUGGUAACUUCUUUCAUGGCCAACAGGGUAGUUUCUCACGAGUAGCAUCAAAUUUGUUAAUUUCCACAGUCCAGGAUUACAAAUCUGUUAUUACUCAUAAUAACUCUAAAUAGUAACGUAAGAUGAGGCACUUAGAGUAAAUCUUUUGCUACCUUUAGAUCAUAGGAAUGAAGGUGGGAAUGGAAUGAAAAAAAUUGAGUUUGAUUGUUCUAUUAGAAUGAAAUGAACCAUUCCCAUUCUUGUCAAAUUUGUGGAUUUUAUUCCUUGCACACUUCUCUUCUCUAUUCCAUUCCUUAACCAAUUCCAUUCAUUCAAUCCAAACGUAGCAUUAAAGCUUUUAAAGAAAGACCUUCUGUAUCUCAUUCUUUUAAUUGUUUCUUCUACAAUAGAAUUUACAAAGAAAAAGAAAAAAAGAAAACUCUGUUUUCCUACUUUUACAUUAAAUUCCGUUUCUAUCUUCCCAUAGCGUGUGCCUUAACAAUUAUGAUCUUUCCUAAUUUACUUUGUCCUUCUGAAGUUUUCUCAAAUUUUACCUGGUUGUUUGUUACGAGUAUUAGUAAAACUUUCAAUUAACACCAUCUUCAGUAAGUUAAUAAAGACAUCGUUAUUACUAUAGAACUUUUUCUUUCAAAUAAUUGGUAAUUGCGAACUUUACUAAUGUAUACACAAAGGUGUAAAUCUUGUGGAGAUGACGAGAUGAUUGGAGAUGCUUAGUAGAAUUUCAAGGCGCCACUUGUGCACUGCUACUCCACAAACAUGGCUCUUUGUAGGCUAAGGCAACCAUGGGAAAAAAUACAAAGCAACCAGACACAAUGUAUGAUCGCAUUUAUACUUUUUUUGAAUACCUUUUCAAUCUCAAAACCCAGCCUUUUGUUUUAUAGUGUCAUUAUUUGCGUGGUUAGAAGCAGGUAGGGUUUAAAAUGAUUGAUGCAUUUGCUGAAUCACAAGGAAUUCCGAUUUACACAGUUCAUUGCAAAGCUUUAUUUGGGAGAAGUUGGUCGCCUUUAUUUAUUUUUAGAUAAAAAGGAUGGUUGUCUUUACUAGCAUCAUCAUGUGCAAGUCAUUUACAUGAUAUAAACUAAUAAACGAUAAUUCUUGUUUCUUUUGGUAUUCUGUUUCAGGUUUUGUGGAUGGUGUUCCUGUUUUCCUUGCAAAACCACAAACUUAUAUGAAUUUGAUUUGCGAAUCUGUAAGCAAUAUAGAUUAUCUCCUUUAGAGGAUUGAAAUUAUACUCUGAAAGAUUUUAUUCUCUUCAUAUUGUGAUUUACAUUAUGUUGAUUUCUUGAUUGUUUGAUUAUGCUUUGUCAUCUACUGUAGGCUGUACUAAAUGGUACACUUAUGCUUUUAUAUUAUUAAUUAGAGAUUGGGUCUUAGUUGAUUACCCUGUUUCAUUAUUGAGCUCGCUUGGAUAACAAGGCUAAUUUAACUUCUUUUAUUUUGUUGAUAUAAAUAUUACUUAAAUAAUAAUGACUACUAAUUCACCCUAAAGUUUAUGGGAAACUUUAAGUCUAAUGUAUCCUAGAUACUUGCCUAUAUUCUUGUAGUUAUGUUUCUAUUUUCUUGUUAUUUUACAAAAUGUUCAAAAGGUUUUGCUUUGUACCUUUAUAUUCAAUGUCUUCAAGUGGACAUAUAAUAUGAUACAAAGCUAUUUGAUUUAACUUUUUGAUCGUAAUUUAGUUCAAGUAUAAAAAAUAGUUCUAGAGGAUUUUCCUUUUUAUAUGUCAUCCUUGUCGGCACAAUUCCUUGAUUCCUUCAAUCAAGCCAUAUGGUCCCCUUGGCCACUUAUUUAAGGACUUGAGUGGAUUCUUCACAUCCCAAAAGGAUAAAAGGAAAAAGGAAAACAUUAAUGAUUAUAUCCUAUGUUUGAACUAGAUUCUGCUUAAAGAUAGGUCAAAACAGCUCAUUCUUAUUCCCCUAAAAUUAUGUUUGGAAUUCCAUGUGAACCUUUAGCAAUGUAAACGUAAAAAGAAGUUUGGUAGCUUUUGCAUAAUACAAGGAUAGAAAAAAUAACAAUAUGAGUAAACAUUAGUUUCCUACAUAUGCACACCUUUUAUAGGAAGUUUUUCAGCUUAAACAUGUGCAAUGAAAUUUUAAAAUUUUGAAUUUCUGAGUGGAAUAUUGUUUUUCACUUUAAUUAUGUUUAAUCAUGUUGAUUGCUAAUUAGUUUAUUCUAAAUGCUGAUUUUUUGGCAAUGUAGACAAUUUAAUGUGUUGAUAAAAUACUUCAAAAAUGGUUCUUACCGAAAAUUGUGCAAUUUUUGCAUUGAUGAAAAAAUUGUCUAUAAUGAUGAUAGAAUAUAAACAUAGGGGGGGGGGGGGACAUAAUAAUUUCUCUUCGGUGAUAACUUUCCAUACUUUUGUCUCCAGAACGAGAAAACAUGAGAACUUAUCCAACUUUGAGUGAUUUAAACAUUUGGGUUGUCCAACUGAUUCAACCCAACCUUGUAUACAGCUUUAAUUGAGAUAUUGAUCUGCCUUGGGUAAUAUAUUUCAUUUGAAGGGUAGUUUUGUCAUUUCAUGCUUAUUGAAAAUUCUCAACCAAUGUCUAUGAACAAAUUCGAUGUGUUGUAAGUACAAUACUAGCUGCAUCAAGUCUUACUAUCAAUUUUCAUAACCAUAUUUUGCAUCAAGUUGCAAUUUCAUUACUGUUUUUUCUAUACAUAUUCUUUUCGAUUGUAUUAUGGACUGUUUUUUUAAAUAAGAGAAUUUAUGCAUAUUUGUAAUGAUAUGGAGAAGAUUGCAAACUUGUUGGUAGAUAACAUUAUUCUAAGCAUUUUAUCAAUACAUUACAGUAUCUACCGUACCUAAUAAUUAACAGUUAAUUAGCAAUCAACAUGCUUAAACUGAACACCAAUAUUGAGUGUCGGCAAAAUAAUCCGAAAACAUUUGAUUAUGAAACAUUUAAUAUUUUUAAUUGGAUAAUUCAAUCAAUUAAGUUAUAAUGGCCAAUUAAAUUCUCGAACAAAGUAUCUAGUAGUGGGGAAAGACGGAAGGUGGUUCCUUAGACCAACACAUAGUUCUCAUGACCAUUUUGGCUAGCCUGUUAGUAGCUUUAUUAACAUACCCACGUAUUAGAUGAAAUCUUUAUCGUUCAAAAAUUAUUUAAAAUAGAAAAAUACUCGAUGAAAACGCUGCAAUAUUGAUGGUUAAGAUGGCCUGAUUUGGUUGAUUACCACCUUCAUUGAGAUUUCUAUAGUCGCUUUCUUACAACACAACUUCAUACAUCCCAUCCUUCAAAGCUUCAAAGCUGUCAAUUCUGUUUGACAUGUGUAGCCUUUUAACUAGUGCUAUAAGGGAAAAUUUGAAAAUGACAUUCUGAUCACGUAAUAUGCAACAAACUUCUCUUACAUUGGAUCCAUUAUGUAUAGACCUCAAUAAAUUUAAGUUGUUAGGAGUAGGAAAUAUAAUGGACGCUGCUACAUUGCCAGUCGCCAGAGGAUUUAAAUUGUACGAAAGUAAUUGAGUUCAAGUCGAGGGCCAUGGAUCCAUCUAGCUUACUCACAAGGAAUCAAAAUUGGAGAACGUCACGAGUAGUUGAAAGUGAGAGAUGGGACACUUAUAUAUAAAGGUAUUUCAAGCUUAAACACAAAAUGAAGUCUCAGUUUUUGGCUGAAACGAACGAAUCUUUAAUAGAAGAAAAUUGGGAAAGAAUCCAAAAAAAGGUUUUUAGUGUCAAGGACACAGAAAUGGCUAUAACAUUUAUUACCAAUUCAAUAUCCGUAAAUGGUAAAAAAAUUGAUUUUCAACUUUGACAUGUGACAUUGAUGAGUGUCGGUUGUAGUAAAAUAUAUACAUUUGUAUCCUUUAUAUUUACACAUGCAUCGUAAUUUCUUCUCGAUUCUUUAUAAAUUCUUCUUACUUGUGUAUCAUUUUUCUUAAGCUAUUUCUUUUUUCCUGUAGGCUAGGUUCGAUCAAAUAAGUUAUGGCCAUCGAUAUUUGGGUUCUUUAUUCAGACCUUACAUGUAGUCUGCAAGUGACCCCACUAAUUUUUUUUGCUGCUAGUCUAAUGUUAUUGAAGCGCAUAAAAUGAAGGUGGCACCAACACAUUUUUCUUUCUUUCUCUCCUCUAUUCUACACAACAAAGCAUUUUUUGGUAGGAGCUAACUCAAGACCAAUUAUCACUUCCCACUUUCAUUUUAUCUAUCUAUUUCUCUCUUUUUUAUGUGCAUCACCUAUUUCUUAACAAUUUUCUUAUUCAAUUUUUUAAUCAAACAAAAAAUAAGAGAUUGCAACAUUGGCAGCUAUGUCGGUUGAUAUAUAUUCCCUUCGAUUUAAGAUUAUAGAUAUAUUUUUUUAUUUCUUUUAAUACUAAAUGUAUUUUUUAAUUUUUAAUUAUAAAGUGACAAAGAAUCUUAACAUUUCAGUUCUUAUAUUCUAAGUAGCGUGUUAUCAUGUCACAAGUAUAUAUUUCUAGUUAAUGUUAGGGAUGUGUUUUUUUUAAAAAAAUUAUCUUAAAAAUCGUCGUUUUAGAAAUCUAUCUCAAAUUUAAGAACGAGAGGGAGUAGUAAUAGAUGCUCUUAUACCCACUUGCGCAAUUCUUUUAAUUGUCAAAUACAAUUUCUUUGGGAUAGAUUGAGUUGGGGUAGGUUCAAAAUGUAUCUCAAUUUUCGAAUGGAGGGAGUAGUAAUAGAUGCUCUUCUACCCACUUGUGUUAUUAUUUUAAUUGCCAAACACAGUUUCUUUGGGAUAGACUUGAGGUUGGGCUAGACUUUAGUGACCGCACUAUGUGAAAUUUUUAGGUUCGCCCUUGCUUACAUGGGAAGUAGAUCUGGUGGCCUUUGCUGGAGGAAUGGAAUUUUUGGAGAUAGGUAGUUGUAAGUUGCUUUGGUAUGGUGGCAAAUGUGGGGUUCCCUAGAGAAGGGGGAUUUCCUUUUGAGUGGGUGUUGGAAGCCAUUGCGAUAGGGCGAUUUUUUUUGUCAAGCACAUAUUGUGAAGUUAGAGAAGAUUUGAUUUUGGUCAGAUAGAUAGUGUGCCAACUAUGACCGGUGAGCGUUCCUUAACCUCUUCACUAUUGUGAUUGAUUCAAGGGCUAGGGUUGUGGAAUGUGGAUUAUGUGUUGGCGGUUGAUGAGAGUUGGUUGUGAAAGCCUCUACUUGAGAGAUGUUUCUGAACUGCGAGGUGAAUGAGGUGGAUGUUCUUUUGGAACUCCCUCCAGUUAGGAGGAUGUUGUGCAGUUAGAGGAGGUAGAACCUUCCUGGAGGAGAAGUUAGAAGCUUGGGACUCAAAAAGUUGAUGCAAAUACGAAGUUUGUGUGUAGAAUCAGAAUAAUUGAUGUUAAGGAAACAAGAAGCUUUAAAGAAUUGUUGGAAUGAGAGGAAGUGUGGGCUAGCACAUCUCCGUGUUUAUGAGCAAGUUACAAAGUAGAGUUUAUAUUUGAUUCUGCCUAGGAGACGGUAGAGGACUGCCUAGCACCUAGGCGGAGAUUAAUUGAUCCUACGUGGAGAUUUUUAGAACAAUGCAGUAGAUGAUACGAUAAAGCAAUUGGGUGAAACCUGAAAAAUUAAAAUCUACAGAAAUGCGCUACUACUUCUGGCAAUCAUUCUAUCUGUUGUAUUCCACAAUGUGUGUUGUGAGAGGACAUGCAUUCUUCUUCCGUGGCUUUCUUGUGGGUAUAUUUUAUGUUAUGCAUGAAAUAUGAAUAAAAAUUGGUGAUGAUACUGAAACUCCUAUAGGAAUGUAAUGUGAUACACUAACUUCCAUUUGGCUUCCAUUAUUUACAGUGUCCCACUUGCUGCUUACUACAAGCUCCCUCUUAACCGUGUGAUUGUGGUAUAAUCUGUUUCAGAGCCAAUAUAUGUGCCCUCUUAUAAAUGUUGAUUGAUUGAUUACAUUUAGUUUGUAUUCUUUAUCGUUAGUUUUUGUGAUUGUAGUUUCAUGAUUACAUGGAUUUACCAUGUGGAGUUCUUCGCCUUCACCACAAGGAGGGUCAUGGAAGCCAUAAUGGGUAUGAAUAUAAUAUGCAUUUGCUAUUUUUUUUUUCCGUCACAAGAACCUAAAUGAGGGAUGGAAAUUUACUUUAAACCUGUGUAGAUGGAUUACGUGGGUGAUGGCAUGUCAAACAAAACAAACAGGUGAUUAGAUAUCAAGAAUGUCUUUCUUCAUGGUGAUUUUCAGGAAGUGGUCUAUAUGGACCAACCAUAUGGAUUUGUUGCUCGGAAGAGUAUGGGAAGGUAUGCAGAUUGAAGACAUUGUUAUAUGGGUUAAAGCAGUCUUCAGGGGAUUAGUUUGGACUAUAGUGAGGCAAUUAAGGAGUUUGGACUUGAGAAGUGGGUGUGAUCACUGUGUCUUCUAUAAUGGUUGUGUUUUGUUGGUGGCUUAUGCUGAUGAUAUUGUUUUUAUAGGGAGUAAUGCGUCAUGGACUGGUGGUUUAAAUUCUUUCUUCGGACUACAUUUAGACAAAAGUUUUGGAUACUUUGAAGUAUUUUUUGGGAAUACAAGUAGCUCGGUUCAAGAAGGGAAUCUUUCUUUCUUAGAUAAAGUAUGUCUUAUAUUUACUCACGAAUACUGGGAUGUUAGGGGCUAAACUUUGUGAUACACCCAUGGAUUCUAAUUUAAAAAUAACAUUAGAAUUUGGGAAUAUAAUAGCAGCGUGUUUGAGGUAUAGAAGAUUAGUUGGAAAGUUAAAUUAUUUGAUAGUAACUCAACCUAGUUGAUGUAGUGAGUCAAUUCAUGUAUUCUCUUACUACUGUUCAUUGAGAGGCUCUAGUUCGUAUAUUAAGAUAUUCUAAGGGUGCUCCAAGACGAGGGAUUUGGUAUAAAGAUCAUUGAUAUACUAGAAUUGAGGGAUUCUCUAAUGCAGAUUGGGAUGGAUCACCUUUCGACGGGAAGUCUACAACAAGUUGCCAAGUAUUUGUUGGAGGUAAUUUGAAAUCUUGGCCAAGUGAAAAACAGAAUGUGGUGGCUCAAUCAAGUUCCGAAUCAAAAUAUAGGAUAUGGCACAAGCUACAUGUGAGCUCAUGUGGAUAAGUUAUCUUUUAGCUGAGAUUUAUUUUGGGAGGUCUUCGCCAAUGGAUUUUUGGUGUGAUAGUGAGGCAGCUAUUCAUAUAUUGAUGUGGAUUGUCAAUUUGUUUAUGAGAAGAUUCAACAAAAACUCAUUGUUAUUGAGUAUGUUGGAAUUGGUGAAAAGUUAGCACAUAUUUUCACAAAGGCAUUUGGUGGGGACGGUAUAAUCGGAUUGAUUAUGCAUGUAACAAGUUGGGCAUCAUUAAUAUUUAUGCUCCAACUUGAGCGAGGGUGUUGAUUGUUGAAAAUGUAAAUGACUUAUUUAUUUAUUUAUAUUUUGAAAACUUGUACUAUUACAAUUCAAUAAUUCUAGGGGUACAUUUCAGUCCUAGGGGCCUAUGGGGGAAUUGAGAAAAGAGCCAGGAGGGGAAUUAAGGGAAACUUACCUUCACUAUGUAGCGGCUAUGUUGAUUCUGACUUUGCUGAGGGAUAGGCUCAAACAUAUGACCUUGUACAAUAAAGGGAGGUUUUACCACUAGGCGAUCACCUUUAGUCUGACAUAUGUAUUGUUUUUAUACUCGAGGUUAUUUAAAACUUUUGUAACCUCUUGUACUUGGUAUAUAUAAGAAUUGCCUAACCUAGUUCAGGUUAAGGCUUCACAAACUCCUUUUUCUCUUGUUAAUUAACAAGAUGUAUUAAUAAAGGCCCCAAAAGGGGGUGACAUACACAGAAUGUAUGUCACCCAAAAGGUCUACAAAAGAGACCUUGGAUACACCUCAUUAACAUAUAGUAGACUCAAACACAGAAACCCUAUAUGAACAAUAUAGAUUUUUCUCCAUCUUCAAAACACCUCAUUGAAAAGUAGCAGGCGUAUCCACUUCGUGCACGAAAGCAAAAUGUCUGCAACUAAGAAGAGUGUGAAUUCCUGGAGCUUUGCAAGGAAGUCUUCGUUGGGAAAGUUUGUCGAACCUUCAGAUCUUCAGUUGCUUUGGUAGAUCCGUAGAUGUGUUGAACUUUAUAUGUUUCUCCCUAUGGCAUUACCUUUGUUUAUUAGUUGGCAUAGAGUAGCAAUAAAAUAAGAAUUAUGUGAUAUAUCUCUUCAUCUAUUUCGUUAAUAUGUAAAUACUUGAUAUUGAUCUUGAAGACAAGUACCACAUUUGUUUAUAUAGAUUGCUUUUCCUAAAUAAGUGGCAAAAGUUAAUUUAUCAGAGAACCAUGCAAGUUGUGGGAAUUCAAAAGUUGUGUGGUUACUUGUUAUUAGUUUACAUAUUCUUCUUAUCAUGUCACAUGCCAACAUGUGAUUUUUCUGAUUUGUAGUUUAUGAAACUCCAUUGAUAGAUAACUGUUAUCCAUCUGGGGACUGUAGAUAAAGUAGAAUUCAGUUUAAGCAUCAUCUAAACUCAUUUUCCUCUAAUUCUAUUCAUCUACCAGACUGAAGAGUGUGAUCUAUCAUUUUUGCGGGAACAGAGAGCUUGCUCGGUUGAGAAUUGGUCAGUUUUAGAUCCUAUAUAUUCUGCAGCUGGAUCCAGUUUCAUAAUGAUGACCAAUAAUAUGUUUUUUAGGUGUCGGAAGUCCUCCUGGUCAAAUGGAUCCCAAAGCUUUCUUGUUCCAAAAGUUCAAUGCCACAGCUCAAGGACGAGUAGGUUUAUCAGUUAGGAGCAAUCAUUUAUAGCACAAGCUUUUAUUUAACUUCUUUAGUCGGGUAUAAUAUACUCCAUAUGCACUAUAGCUUGAAAACUACCUUCCAGAAUGGUUACUCCUGCUUCAGAAUCAUGAUUCUAUUAUUGUGCAGUAAUCUAUCUAUUUCGUAACAAUCCAUGUUGAAUCUAAUAUGUCGUAGGGAAAUGAUAUUAUAUUGGGAAUUUAUGUAUCGACUUUUUUGUUGCUAGUUACGUGGAUAAGUAUUAGUGGUAACUCUUUUAAAGAAAAGAUGUGUAAUAUGUUGAGCCACCCUUAUAAUCCUAUCCAGUCAUUGUAGUUCCGCAAUUGUAAUUCUACAAAAAAAAAUUCGCAAUACGUAGCAGGACUAUGUCAUAAAUCUAAUUAGUUCUGUACUUUUUUCAUUCUAAUUGAUAUUUUCCCAAGCUGUUUUUUUAUAUGUAUAAUGACUUUCGAGUUCUGGACAGGGAUUUUUUCUUCUGGACUAGUAACAGCAAAAGGUAGUUUGAAUUCUUCUAACAAUUCUCUUUUAAAAUAAUAUUUUUGAAAGAUUAAUGCUGCAUUGCAAGGAGUUGGUGUGUUGAAACAACUCAUGUUGAAAGGCUCGACAGAGUGCAAGAUGCUUCAAUAGGCAGCAGAAGCACAAACACCUAAAGUUGCAGACCAUGCCGAUAUGACAAGCAGAGCCUGCACAACAACAACUAGAUCGCAAUUGCUUUCCUUUUUAGAUUUUGUAAAUGACUAUUAACAUGGUGAACCUGAAAUUUACAUAUAUGUUUUGAAUAGGAAUGACAAUAUACUUGUAAGAACUGCAGAAUACUGUUCCAAUGACUUUACAUGUUUUUUUUUGCUAUAUUCGACUGAAAUUUAACACU